rnacentral:rRNA from 1 species
GAUGAACGCUGGCGGCGUGCCUAAUACAUGCAAGUCGAGCGAACAGACGAGGAGCUUGCUCCUCUGACGUUAGCGGCGGACGGGUGAGUAACACGUGGAUAACCUACCUAUAAGACUGGGAUAACUUCGGGAAACCGGAGCUAAUACCGGAUAAUAUAUUGAACCGCUUGGUUCAAUAGUGAAAGACGGUUUUGCUGUCACUUAUAGAUGGAUCCGCGCCGCAUUAGCUAGUUGGUAAGGUAACGGCUUACCAAGGCGACGAUGCGUAGCCGACCUGAGAGGGUGAUCGGCCACACUGGAACUGAGACACGGUCCAGACUCCUGCGGGAGGCAGCAGUAGGGAAUCUACCGCAAUGGGCGAAAGCCUGACGGAGCAACGCCGCGUGAGUGAUGAAGGUCUUCGGAUCGUAAAACUCUGUUAUUAGGGAAGAACAAAUGUGUAAGUAACUAUGCACGUCUUGACGGUACCUAAUCAGAAAGCCACGGCUAACUACGUG